rnacentral:rRNA from 1 species
GUAAGGAAUAUUGGUCAAUGGAGGCAACUCUGAACCAGCCAUGCCGCGUGCAGGAAGACGGCCCUCUGGGUUGUAAACUGCUUUUAUCCGGGAAUAAACCUGCCUUCGUGAAGGUAGCUGAAUGUACCGGAAGAAUAAGGAUCGGCUAACUCCGUGCCAGCAGCCGCGGUAAUACGGAGGAUCCAAGCGUUAACCGGAUUUAUUGGGUUUAAAGGGUGCGUAGGCGGCCUGUUAAGUCAGGGGUGAAAGACGGUGGCUCAACCAUCGCAGUGCCCUUGAUACUGAUGGGCUUGAAUGGACUAGAGGUAGGCGGAAUGUGACAAGUAGCGGUGAAAUGCAUAGAUAUGUCACAGAACACCGAUUGCGAAGGCAGCUUACUAUGGUCCUAUUGACGCUGAGGCACGAAAGCGUGGGGAUCGAACAGGAUUAGAUACCCUAGUAGUCC